rnacentral:rRNA from 1 species
CGCUAGCUACAGGCUUAACACAUGCAAGUCGAGGGACCGGCGCACGGGUGAGUAACACGUAUCCAACCUGCCGACAACACUGGGAUAGCCUUUCGAAAGAAAGAUUAAUACCGGAUGGUUGUCGAUGGGGAUGCGUUCCAUUAGGCAGUUGGCGGGGUAACGGCCCACCAAACCAACGAUGGAUAGGGGUUCUGAGAGGAAGGUCCCCCACAUUGGAACUGAGACACGGUCCAAACUCUACGGGAGGCAGCAGUGAGGAAUAUUGGUCAAUGGACGAGAGUCUGAACCAGCCAAGUAGCGUGAAGGAUGACUGCCUAUGGGUUGUAAACUUCUUUUAUACGGGAAUAUGUACCGUAUGAAUAAGGAUCGGCUAACUCCGUGCCAGCAGCCGCGGUAAUACGGAGGAUCCGAGCGUUAUCCGGAUUUAUUGGGUUUAAAGGGAGCGUAGGCGGGUUGUUAAGUCAGUUGUGAAAGUUUGCGGCUCAACUGUAAAAUUGCAGUUGAUACUGGCGACCUUGAGUGCAACAGAGGUAGGCGGAAUUUGUGGUGUAGCGGUGAAAUGCUUAGAUAUCACGAAGAACUCCGAUUGCGAAGGCAGCUUACUGGAUUGUAACUGACGCUGAUGCUCGAAAGUGUGGGUAUCAAACAGGAUUAGAUACCCUGGUAGUCCACACAGUAAACGAUGAAUACUCGCUGUUGGG